rnacentral:rRNA from 1 species
GAAGCGACUCGCGAGAGCAAGCGGACCUCAUAAAGUAUGUCGUAGUCCGGAUUGGAGUCUGCAACUCGACUCCAUGAAGUCGGAAUCGCUAGUAAUCGUAGAUCAGAAUGCUACGGUGAAUACGUUCCCGGGCCUUGUACACACCGCCCGUCACACCAUGGGAGUGGGUUGCAAAAGAAGUAGGUAGCUUAACCUUCGGGAGGGCGCUUACCACUUUGUGAUUCAUGACUGGGGUGAAGUCGUAACAAGGUAACCGUAGGGGAACCUGCGGUUGGAUCACCUCCUUACCUUAAAGAA